UCUGUAAACAUCGAUUAUGCAUUCCAGCGCAUAAAUAGCAUAAUGUGGCGUUCGCUUCCUCCACUUCCUGGCAGGGGUUCCUUACUCGGCGUAAUUAACGACAAUGAGAAGGAAUAUGAUGCUUUUGGUUUCCGUCGUAGCUUUGGUAGCAGCGACAGGAGCGGAAGCAUUCGACGGAUCCAAGUACAGUUGUGACUUAGGAACUCUUGGCGACAAGCACUGUCACGAAGUUUGCACGGCCGUGGGAUUUACUAGGGGUACCUGUGUCCCAAGUGAGAUUGAUCCGAGUCCAACUUGCUCAUGUGUCCGCGUCAGCAAGGUUGAUUAACACAUCACCGUUCAGCAUACCAACAAUGACGUCAGUUCUCCUACCCCACUUUUUAACCAGGACUGAGCUGACCAUCACAUCUUCAGUUUGAUGAAGGAACCCUGUAAAAGAAAAUAAAAAAAAUACUACUCGAAA